CCAUAGGUUAAUGAGGCGAACCGGGGGAACUGAAACAUCUAAGUACCCCGAGGAAAAGAAAUCAACCGAGAUUCCCCCAGUAGCGGCGAGCGAACGGGGAGGAGCCCAGAGCCUGAAUCAGCAUGUGUGUUAGUGGAAGCGUCUGGAAAGGCGCGCGAUACAGGGUGACAGCCCCGUACACAAAAGCGCAUGUGCUGUGAGCUCGAUGAGUAGGGCGGGACACGUGGUAUCCUGUCUGAAUAUGGGGGGACCAUCCUCCAAGGCUAAAUACUCCUGACUGACCGAUAGUGAACCAGUACCGUGAGGGAAAGGCGAAAAGAACCCCGGCGAGGGGAGUGAAAAAGAACCUGAAACCGUGUACGUACAAGCAGUGGGAGCACAGGUUUACCUGUGUGACUGCGUACCUUUUGUAUAAUGGGUCAGCGACUUAUAUUCUGUAGCAAGGUUAACCGAAUAGGGGAGCCGGAGGGAAACCGAGUCUUAAUUGGGCGUUAAGUUGCAGGGUAUAGACCCGAAACCCGGUGAUCUAGCCAUGGGCAGGUUGAAGGUUGGGUAACACUAACUGGAGGACCGAACCGACUAAUGUUGAAAAAUUAGCGGAUGACCUGUGGCUGGGGGUGAAAGGCCAAUCAAACCGGGAGAUAGCUGGUUCUCCCCGAAAGCUAUUUAGGUAGCGCCUCGUGAAUUCAUCUCCGGGGGUAGAGCACUGUUUCGGCUAGGGGGCCAUCCCGGCUUACCAACCCGAUGCAAACUGCGAAUACCGGAGAAUGUUAUCACGGGAGACACACGGCGGGUGCUAACGUCCGUCGUGAAGAGGGAAACAACCCAGACCGCCAGCUAAGGUCCCAAAGUCAUGGUUAAGUGGGAAACGAUGUGGGAAGGCCCAGACAGCCAGGAUGUUGGCUUAGAAGCAGCCAUCAUUUAAAGAAAGCGUAAUAGCUCACUGGUCGAGUCGGCCUGCGCGGAAGAUGUAACGGGGCUAAACCAU
rnacentral:rRNA from 2 species